ACUAUGCCACCAAGGGGCGUGGAUGGAGAAUUCACAGCUUUCAUAAGACCACCACCUUUAGUGAUUGUGAGGCCCAACCUUCUAGCCUCAUCUUCAGUAAUGAAGUUGUUGGUAGCUCCCGUAUCCACCAUUGCUAGUGCGGGCCGACUAUUUACUUGAGCUUCCACAUACAUUAAUCCUCAUUCAUUAUUGGAAGUCGGAAUGACCUUAGCAUUGAGAGCGUUAAGAAGUUGCAAUGAAAUAAAAUGUUCCGCCCUUUGAUCUUGGCAAGAGGAUGAAUCCCGUUCCUCC
rnacentral:lncRNA from 1 species